UAUUUUAUCUCCAAUGCCAAGUAUUAAAAAUAAUCAUCAUCAUCAUCAGCUAUACAUUGAGACACGUAAAAAUAUCCGAGCCAAUCAAAUUUUUUUUCACUGAUGUCCGUCUUAAAAAUAAAUUUGACCGAUAAGUAAAAUAAUUAUUAUUACUACAAAAAAUGAUGGACGUUUCAAUAACAAUUGUAAUAGCAGUAGCAGUAAUAGCAAUUAUUAUUUUUGUAAUAACCGCAGUCAGUUACAGUGCAAAUCCUAAUGAACUGCCUGAUAAUGAAGUGAUUGCUUCUGGGGAAAAUUUAGAAGAAAAUCCUGAUCGCCGUCAAGAAAGAAGAGAACGAGUGGUUUUGAAUCAGUCUAGUAAUCCGCCGCCUGAUCCCUCGCCAAAUAUUUUUUUAUGCUGCAUUGAUUGCAAUCAUGGACAUGAUUAUCAUCAUAAUCAUCAUGAGAUUCAUGACGGAGAUUGUGACUGCGAUUGCUGCGAUGGUUGUGACUGUGAUGAUGGAUGCGCGGGUUGUUUCGAUUAGAUAAAUUUAAAAAAAAAAAAAUUAUAAUUAUUAUAUUUAACCAUAAGAUAAUUAAUUUUUUAUAAUUACGUCGGGUUCUUCCGUGUCAAGUACAGUACUAAUGAUGAUCUUGAAGUUAGCAGACUAGUAAACAUUUUCGUAUUUUUUUUUUUAACGAAUCAAUUAAAAAAAAAAAAAAAAAAAAAAAAAAAAAAAAAAAAUGCACAUGUAGAAAAUUAAAAAAACUACAAGUGCAAUUUUUUUGAAUAUUUUUUUUUAUAAUUUAUCGUUUUUUAAAAUUCAAAAAUUAUUAGACGUCGGCUAACUUCAGUAUUAUUAAUAAUGACAAUUAAUUUUAAAUUAUAAAAAUAAUAAAAAUUUUUAUUUAUUUUUAUAGAAUAAUUUACUGCUAUUUAUAUAACAUUUAUUUUUUGAUAAUGGAAUUUUAAAAUAAAAUAAUCGAACAGCUUUAAUUAAUUUUUUUCAUUGUUAAGGGCGUGGUCUAGUUCGUAGGCUAAAAAAAUAGUCUAUUUUUGGGAAUUUCUUGCGAGCUUGCUAUGAAAGAUAAGUAUACAAACACUGUUAGGGAUGAUAAAUGAAGUCUUGAAUUAUAAAAAAAAAAAUUAUUUUAAUUCAUUUUUAUAAGUAUGUUCAUACAAAAGGUGUACUCUAACAGAGCGCCAUAAUUUAAAAGCAGGUCAGCUCAAUCUCGAUAUUUCAGCAACGGCUUAUCUGAAACAAAAAAAUCGAAGUGUUUCAAAUUCGGUAUGACAGUGGCUACGAGAUAGACUAACGAUAUUAAUUUUGGACCAUUCUUACUAAUUUUAUCUAACGAAAAUUUAACAAAAUGAAAAAAAGUGUUUUUUUUCGCUGUUAUUUGUAAAAAAAAAUUAGUUAAAAUCAAAAUUUUUCUAUGAUUUUAGUCUAUCCUGUAAGUACUUAUGUGUAGAAUAUGUGGUUAAAAUUUCAAAAGGAUCAGCCCUCGGGUUCCAGAGAAAUCGUGAUUGGCGUCGGCGAAAUCGUAGUUUCGAAAUAAACGCGUUUAAAGUUUUUUUAAAUAAAAAAAAAAUCUUACCAAAAUUUAAUCUGCGAUGCCUGCACUAUACGAAGUGCCUUUUUCUUGUUCAAAACUUUCGUUUGCUUCUAAUUUGGCCUUUUUCCGUUCUGCACUCUCUUGAUGUGUCCAAGCUGUGGCAGUUCACAUAUUCGAUACGCGUAAAAUUGUGUUUGUCGACCUUUAGAUUCAGAAAAAUACACUUAAACUGCUCGGAUCUCCAUAAAAAUUUGGCACAAUAUGCUUGGAUACAUAUACAUUAAAAAAAUGUAAAAAAACAAAAAAGAUUUUUCAAAAAUGACCAACUAGACUACACCCUCAAACUUGACUGUAGAACAAUAUUUGUAAAAUAUAUGAACGGAAUUCAUGAGUAGUAGGCCACUGUGAGGCCAAUUUCGGAUACUGGAAAAAUAAUUUUAUUCAAAUAUUUAAUAAUUUCAUCGGCCCUGACUUUUCCCUAAGGGUCGCAAAUACAAACAGUGAAUGCGUAGUAAGUGAGAACAUAAACUUGAGAAUAAUUUCUUAGUUAUCGAUGUGUUUAUCUGAUUUAUUCAUUGUUUACUUCUAUAAAAGUAUUCAAAGAGACAAUUUUUUAUCAAUUAAUACAAUGAAGCAGCUACAGCUACAUUUCUUUUGUUAUACUCUAUACUGCGUGCGCACAAAAGACGCGCAGAAUGGACGUGGUCGCCCGCAAGAGAAAUACGGAGAGACGCCAUCUGUCUCACGAUAUUUGAACGACUUUCACUUACAGGGACCGACUAUGAAGUAUUAAAUAUAUGUGAUAAAUAUCUACAUAUGAUAAGUGAAAAAUCAUUACAUUGCAUCACAUCCUAGACUGUUUUCACUUGAACAUUCAUUGUUGUAAACACGUGUGUUAUGUGGACAUGUGUGCGGUUAGCUAUUGAGUUUUAUGGUGUAAUUAGUUUUUUUUUAUGAUAAUAUAUAUUUUUUUAAUAAUAAACUCGUAUAGAAACGAUAAAUUAAAAUAAUUUGAUUUGAAGAAAAAUAUUCAGUGCAAAAGAACUAAUUUUAUUAUAUUAAAAUUAGUAUUUAAAAAAGAAUUAGUAUUGCUAUCAUAGAACCCAAUUAUGUCAACUGAAAAAAAAGAAGAAAAAUACACAAAAAUUUCAGCAGCCAAAGAAGACAAUUCAUCUCCGAAGGAAAAUAACUCAGCAGAAUCUGAAUCAACUCCUGGAUUACUGCUUCCUGAUGGAGAAAUAAAUUGGGACUGUCCUUGCUUGGAUGGAAUGGCAUCAGGACCCUGCGGUUCAGAGUUCAAAAAUUCGUUUUCUUGUAUGUUUACGUCUGCAGAAGGACAAAAUGAUGCGGAUUGUCUUGUAGCCAUUAAAACAUUAUUCUCAUGUAUGGCCAAACAUCCUGACUACUAUCGCGACAAAGGUUUUUCUGAUGAUAUUUUGGAGAUGGAUGAACAACCAGAGACAAAUUCAACGAACAAUGAAAAAGACAGUGAAACUAAAUCAAAAUAGUUGACUGUUUAGAAUUAUCUAGUCAAUAUUGUUCUUAUAAUUAAUUAAAUAAAUAUUGUAUUGUAAAAAAAUUUUAUUACCCGGGAAUUAUAAAAUACUUCAAAAACUAUAACAGAUACUUUAAUUUUAUUUAUUUGUAUAUGUCAUAUGUUAAUUAAUGUGAAAAUUUUGUUACUUGAAUUCCCACAAGAGAUUUUGAUCCCACGGUCAAAUAAAAUUAUUAUCUAAUAUACUAAUAUUUCAAAUGAACUACAACUCAGAUUACAGCGGAAAGUAAAUUGUUGUGUUAGCAUGGUGGCCACAUUUCUGGAAAAUCUGGAAAUGUCAGGGAAUUAUAAAUAUACUGGAAAAGUCAGGGAAAUGUCAGGGAAUUUCGUCACAAAGCUGGAAAAAUUUUCACUUUCUUUCUUUUGACUGAAAAAAUCCUCCAAAUUUAGUUUUCUGUCAAAACUGUUCAAGAAGUGACGCGGCGCGAAUGCGGUUGUAAAACCAUGUGGAAAAAAAUUAGUAGAAAUUGAUUCCAAUAGCGAAAAAAUGAAGCAGUUAGAAUUAUCAAGGCUGUUAGAAAAAAAAAGUCUUAGUAGAAACCAAUCGCCAGGAUCUUCAAGCUAUUAACAUCCAUAUUGACAAGUUAAAAAACUAAAAACAUUAAAUGUAUACAUAAGUAAUAAACUAAUAAGUUUCACUAUAUUUAUUAUUCGCGUACUUCAUUAAUACUUUAUUAAUAUUCUAUGAAA